rfam:Nitrospira sp. ST-bin5 254, whole genome shotgun sequence.
AUUCCUUACGGUGAUGGGGUUCACCGGAACCGCCUGCGGUCUCUACCCAGGCUGAUAACUCCUACGCACCC